rnacentral:pre_miRNA from 1 species
CAGAUACUCCCUCCGUCCGGAAAUAAGUGGCUUGGAUAGUUGGAUUUGUAUAGAUUCUUAUACAAAUCCAAGUCACUUAUUUCCGGACGGAGGGAGUAUAUA